rnacentral:rRNA from 1 species
UACAGAGGGUGCAAGCGUUAAUCGGAAUUACUGGGCGUAAAGCGUGCGUAGACGGUUACAUAAGUCGGGUGUGAAAGCCCCGGGCUCAACCUGGGAAUUGCAUUCGAGACUGCGUAGCUAGGGUGCGGAAGAGGGAAGCGGAAUUUCCGGUGUAGCGGUGAAAUGCGUAGAUAUCGGGAGGAACACCAGUGGCGAAGGCGGCGAUCUGGGCAGACACUGACGCUGAGGUGCGAAAGCGUGGGGAGCAAACAGG